AUUGAACGCUGGCGGCAUGCCUUACACAUGCAAGCCGAACGGUAACGGGUCCUUCGGGAUGCCGACGAGUGGCGAACGGGUGAGUAAUAUAUCGGAACGUGCCCAGUAGUGGGGGAUAACUGCUCGAAAGAGCAGCUAAUACCGCAUACGACCUGAGGGUGAAAGGGGGGGAUCGCAAGACCACUCGCCAUUGGAGCGGCCGAUAUCAGAUUAGCUAGUUGGUGGGGUAAAGGCCUACCAAGGCAACGAUCUGUAGUUGGUCUGAGAGGACGACCAGCCACACUGGGACUGAGACACGGCCCAGACUCCUACGGGAGGCAGCAGUGGGGAAUUUUGGACAAUGGGCGCAAGCCUGAUCCAGCAAUGCCGCGUGCAGGAAGAAGGCCUUCGGGUUGUAAACUGCUUUUGUCAGGGAAGAAAUCUUCUGGGCUAAUACCCCGGGAGGAUGACGGUACCUGAAGAAUAAGCACCGGCUAACUACGUGCCAGCCGCCGCGGUAA
rnacentral:rRNA from 1 species